rnacentral:rRNA from 1 species
AGGGUUUGAUCAUGGCUCAGAUUGAACGCUGGUGGUAUGCUUAACGCAUGCAAGUCGAACGGUAACAUUGGAGCUUGCUCCAGAUGACGAGUGGCGGACGGGUGAGUAACGCGUAGGAAUCUGCCUAGUAGUGGGGGACAACAUGUGGAAACGCAUGCUAAUACCGCAUACGCCCUACGGGGGAAAGCGGGGGAUCUUCGGACCUCGCGCUAUUAGAUGAGCCUGCGUUAGAUUAGCUUGUUGGUGGGGUAAUGGCCUACCAAGGCGACGAUCUAUAGCUGGUCUGAGAGGACGAUCAGCCACACUGGGACUGAGACACGGCCCAGACUCCUACGGGAGGCAGCAGUGGGGAAUAUUGGACAAUGGGCGCAAGCCUGAUCCAGCAAUACCACGUGUGUGAAGAAGGCCUGAGGGUUGUAAAGCACUUUCAAUUGGGAGGAAAACAGCUGGGUUAAUAGCCCUGCUCUUGACAUUACCUUUAGAAGAAGCACCGGCUAACUCCGUGCCAGCAGCCGCGGUAAUACGGAGGGUGCGAGCGUUAAUCGGAAUUACUGGGCGUAAAGCGUACGUAGGCGGUUAUUUAAGUCAGAUGUGAAAGCCCCGGGCUCAACCUGGGAACUGCAUUUGAAACUGGAUAACUAGAGUUUGAUAGAGGAGAGUAGAAUUUCUGGUGUA